rnacentral:tRNA from 1 species
GGGAAAGUGGCUCAGUGGUAGAGCACUUGCCUUGCAUGCAUGAGGUCCUGGGUUCGAUUCCUUAGCACCA